rfam:Heterocephalus glaber contig223059, whole genome shotgun sequence.
GUCUAGGGCCAUACCACCCUGAAUGUGCCCAAUCUUGUCUGAUCUCAGAAGCUAAGCAGGGUCAGGCCUGGUUAGUACUUGGAUGGGAGAGAGUGAGUGCUAACAGCA